rnacentral:misc_RNA from 1 species
AUUGAAAGUAUGGGAUUUCAAUAUGGGGUAUAUAUGGACUUAGGCUCUCCUACCUCAACAGCUAGCGUUUGGGGUGUGGUUCUCCUAAGUUUGUAUCACAGAUCCAGAAAAAGCACAAUGAAUGGAGAAAAUUAUCUUAUUCUUUCACUGAUGUGCAACUAAUAAUUGGCAAGUUUUUUAUUAUACAAUUGAAUAAGAUAAGGGAGAAGCCAAUAAGGCAAUUAAGCCUGUCCUUUAUGGACAUAAGGUAUUCAGGAUAAUAUUUUAUACAAUUCAGAGUUCUGCUUUCCAGAGAACAUGUAACAUUAGGAGGAACUGGAAGCCCAUAAAUAUAAAUGUUUUCUGAAGCAAAUUAAUCGAUUGUCUAGGUUUGAGAUACUAUGACUAAUGUAAAGUAGAUCAAGUAGGAUCAUCCUUGAAAGAAAGCAUUAAUCAGGGGUUGAGGUUAGUAGAGGCCAAAAUUUCAUAUGAAGGAUGACCAAAAUUUGCUAUGAGGUGGAUGGAUUAUUCAUGUUGGGAGCCUAGAACAACUGAUAUAUGUUGGAGGCUGGAAAGGGGAAGCAUAUUUGACUCCAGCUAAUCUCUUUGGAGUUCUCAGCUCGAUCAUUUUAAUGUGCUCUUUUUCUUGGUUACAUCAACAUGUUGUAAUGGUUCCUAGAUAGCUACAUGGAUUAAUCCACAGUUUUACCUCUUUGUGCCUUAUGAUUUGUAGCUGACCAUAUAGUAAGUUGUUAAAUUGGCAUGGUAUUUGAUUGAAGCUUAUUAUUAAUUUUACUCCACUAACCCUGAAAAUAGACGAAUAAUUGACCUAGAGAACAAAGAGGGAUCCUCAAAGACCCUGAACUCAGACCUGCUCAAAUGCAAGGUUUUUUCCCAUGGAGAAAACCCCAAAACAUUCUUGCUUAACCAUUUAUUAGGAGUUAGGAGUUAGUACUAACCUCAUUUAUGGCAUUUUUGAGUCUGAAUUCCAAGAUCAUGUUUCCUAAGCCCAUUGAAUUAGGAUGAUGAUUUAUUCCCAAGAUGUUGCACUUUCGAAUAUAAUGGUUAAAGAUUUAAGGCUAUGUGGAGAAUAAAAUUUGGACAUACCCAAUUGGAUAUUUAUGUCCAGCUUUUCAUGUGGUGGAACCAAGGUACUUGGCUUUAUCGCUUGACAUCUUGUGUAAUUCAUUGUGACUCUUUCCAUUGUGCAAUCUGGUUGAUUAAAAUUGCAAGUUCUCUGGAAUCCUAACUUUCCUGCUCAUACAUCCACUGCUCCACCAUUCUGUAUAGGGAAAAUUAAUCCAUUGAUCUGCCUACCAAUACAACUUACAUGCAAUAAACAUGCAAGCAUGUUAGAGAGAGCAUCACGUUGAGGCUAUUGAACAUCACCUGAACUAUUAAGCUUUAACAUUGCUGAAAUCUUAAAUUCACAAUUGAAAAUUCCCUUAAUUAAACAUAUUCGCUACCUUACCAGGGAAUACCAUUAUAAUUAAAUCCUCUACCGGUCAACCCAGUGGAAAUUGAUUCCUGUAGUGUACUGUGUAUGUUACAUGAACUGCUGUGUGUCUAUCAGAAAAUCUUGUGGCAAUAUGAACAAAGACGGAUUGCAUUAUUAUUGAGAGCCUUAGUUCUUAGGAAGCCUAGUUCCGAGUACUAGAGGUCCAUAUUCAGCAACAUUUAGAAGUCUGACUAAUAUUUAUCUGCAAGUGCCGGGCAUUUGUGCAUGGCCAUCUUAUUAACAAGAAUGAGGGAAGCCUAGGGGUUGGCAAUAAAUAGAAGUGUUAUUGCCAUGUAUCUUACACUGUUAUCAAAGGCGCGCCUC